rnacentral:lncRNA from 1 species
GUUUUCCUUACAGGCCAAUAGGAGCUGGAGAUCAAUAACCUCGACAAUGCGACAAAUGAAAGUAGUAUAAAAGUGUGCAUUGCUAGAAUGUGGGACAAUAAAAUGUUGACACCUCUAGGUUUGCAUUUCCAUUCUAGGUUUACAUGUUGAUCUUCAUUCUAGUGUUAAAUCCAUUCAAUAGUCAUCUUACACAUGGCUUACUAGAAGGUUUUAUGUGCUUCUUUAUCAUCAUUAUAACUAUUUACUAGCUAUUCCUAUCAUGAUUAUAUCUAUUACCUCUAUUACUUGCUUCAUGGAAGAUGUGUAUAGAAGGGAAUAGACAAGUGGUAUCAUGCAUGUAGGCCAAUAAACAAGUGUCUUCCAUAGAUAAAUCCAUCAAUCCUAUAUAAACCAACUCAUCCUAAAAUUACAUUCACACACUCACUUGCUUCAAACCCACCAUUUUCAUUUUCUCUCCUUCAACUCACACACUCCCUCUUCUUUUUUUUUCUUCAUUAAAUUCUAAUUUUUCUCUCAUCUCUCUUCAUUCACCUUUUUUCUCUUCUCAAUUUCAAUUUAAUAUUACUAACAAAUGUUUUUUUUUGCAGGAU